rnacentral:sRNA from 1 species
GGGGAUGUAAUGGUUUCGACGGGGAUUUUGUGAUUGAGAAUGGCCAUCCGCAGACGGCGCCUGCGUCAAAAAGCCGAACCUAAAAGAAUAAACGACAACGAUAAUUUAGCUUUUGCUGCUUAAUUAAAGCAGCCGCCGGCCUGAAAUAACCUGCCGCUUCAGAAUCCGGCGCCGACAGGCGGGGCACUUGUCCGUUUAAGCUUUGCGGCGGGCAAAGAUCGAUGAAGCUACCAGAACGCCAGUCGUGUUGGUUUGCCUGGCGGGAAGGGAAUGAUGAAUAACCAACUGUGAUGGGAGAAGUUCUCACUGACGGAUUUUCGGACCCGGGUUCGAUUCCCGGCAUCUCCAUUU